rnacentral:rRNA from 1 species
CCUACGGGUGGCAGCAGUAGGGAAUAUUGCUCAAUGGGGGAAACCCUGAAGCAGCAAAGCCGCGUGGAGGAUGAAGGCUUUAGGAUUGUUAACCCCUUUUGUUAGAGAAGAUUAUGACGGUAUCUAACGAAUAAGCACCGGCUAACUCCGUGCCAGCAGCGGCGGUAACACGGAGGGUGCAAGCGUUACUCGGAAUCAUUGGGCGUAAAGGGUGCGUAGGCGGGGUAAUAAGUCAGAUGUGAAAUCCUGUAGCUUAACUACAGAACUGCAUUUGAAACUGUUACUCUGGAGUGUAGGAGAGGUAGGUGGAAUGCUUGGUGUAGGGGUGAAAUGCGUAGAGAUCAAGAAGAAUACUCAUUGCGAAGGCGACCUGCUGGAACACUACUGACGCUGAUGCACGAAAGCGUGGGGAGCAAACAGGAUUAGAUACCCCGGUAGUC